AACGACGCUGGCGGCAGGCCUAACACAUGCAAGUCGAACGCGCGUAGCAAUACGCGAGUGGCGCACGGGUGAGUAACACGUGGGAAUCAACCCUGAGGUUCGGAAUAACCGCGGGAAACUGCGGCUAAUACCGGAUGUCCCCUAUGGGGGAAAGAUUUAUCGCCUUGGGACGAGCCCGCGUCCGAUUAGCUAGUUGGUGAGGUAAUGGCUCACCAAGGCUACGAUCGGUAGCUGGUCNGAG
rnacentral:rRNA from 1 species